AAGCGGGGGACCUUCGGGCCUCGCACUAUUGGAUGAGCCUAUGUCGGAUUAGCUUGUUGGUAGGGUAAUGGCCUACCAAGGCUACGAUCCGUAGCUGGUCUGAGAGGAUGAUCAGCCACACUGGGACUGAGACACGGCCCAGACUCCUACGGGAGGCAGCAGUGGGGAAUAUUGGACAAUGGGCGCAAGCCUGAUCCAGCAAUGCCGCGUGUGUGAAGAAGGCCUGCGGGUUGUAAAGCACUUUCAGUAGAGAAGAAAAGCCUAGGGUUAAUACCCCUGAGUCUUGACGUAACCUACAGAAGAAGCACCGGCUAACUCCGUG
rnacentral:rRNA from 1 species